AUGGCUCAGGACGAACGGCUGGCGGCGUGCUUAACACAUGCAAGUCGAGCGAUGAAGCUCCUUCGGGAGUGGAUUAGCGGCGGACGGGUGAGUAACACGUGGGUAACCUGCCUCAUAGAGGGGAAUAGCCUUUCGAAAGGAAGAUUAAUACCGCAUAAGAUUGUAGUACCGCAUGGUACAGCAAUUAAAGGAGUAAUCCGCUAUGAGAUGGACCCGCGUCGCAUUAGCUAGUUGGUGAGGUAACGGCUCACCAAGGCGACGAUGCGUAGCCGACCUGAGAGGGUGAUCGGCCACAUUGGGACUGAGACACGGCCCAGACUCCUACGGGAGGCAGCAGUGGGGAAUAUUGCACAAUGGGGGAAACCCUGAUGCAAGCAACGCCGCGUGAGUGAUGACGGUCUUCGGAUUGUAAAGCUCUGUCUUUAGGGACGAUAAUGACGGUACCUAAGGAGGAAGCCACGGCUAACUACGUGCCAGCCGCUGC
rnacentral:rRNA from 1 species